GAUGAACGCUGGCGGCGUGCCUAAUACAUGCAAGUCGAGCGAACAGACGAGGAGCUGGCUCCUCUGACGUUAUCGGCGGACGGGUGAGUAACACGGGGAUAACCUACCUAUCAGACUGGGAUAACUUCGGGAAACCGGAGCUAAGACCGGAUAAUAUAUUGAACCGCAUGGUGCAAUAGUGAAAGACGGUUGUGCGGUCACUUAUAGAUGGAUCCGCGCCGCAUUAGCUAGUUGGUAAGGUAACGGCUUACCAAGGCAAGGAUGCGUAGCCGACCUGAGAGGGUGAUUCGACACACGGGCUCUGAGAAAGGGUACAGACUCUUACGGGAGGAAGCAGUAGGGAAUCUUCCGCAAUGGGGGAAAGCCUGACGGAGCAACGCCGGCGGAGUGAUGAAGGUCUUCGGAUCGUAAAACUCUGUUAUUCGGGGAGAACAAAUGUGUAAGUAACUAUGCACAUCUUGACGGUACCUAGUGAGAAAGCCACGGCUAACUCCGUG
rnacentral:rRNA from 1 species